rnacentral:rRNA from 1 species
UACAGAGGUCUCAAGCGUUGUUCGGAUUCAUUGGGCGUAAAGGGUGCGUAGGCGGCGCGGUAAGUCGGGUGUGAAAUCUCGGAGCUUAACUUCGAAACUGCAUUCGAUACUGCCGUGCUUGAGGACUGGAGAGGAGACUGGAAUUUACGGUGUAGCGGUGAAAUGCGUAGAUAUCGUAAGGAAGACCAGUGGCGAAGGCGGGUCUCUGGACAGUUCCUGACGCUGAGGCACGAAGGUCAGGGGAGCGAACGGG